AGCCCCUACACAUUGUGGGCCAAAUAUUUUUCCUCCCUUAAAUUUGGGUGUUGCAAAUUUUGUCUCAGCAAUGAGAAAAGUAACUAAGAUACUGUCAUGGUUAUGCUUGUGGCUCCCAGGCCUCAUGAGUUUGCAUUGUUUAUUAGUGAUGGUUCAUUGUAUAGUGCUUGGAUUGAUGGUGUCAAUGCUCCACCCACAUAGGGGUGGAGCCAGGAUGUGAUAUAAUGGCGGGAAGAAGGUGUGUCUUGCUCUUUGCUGGUUCCUGUUUGCUGUUUGCAGCUGCCAUGAACUGCAGCCCAGCCAUGCCCGCCUGCCUUGGAGCCAACUGACUGUCGACUGAAACCUCCAAAAACUCUGGCCUUGCUUUAGCCCCACACAUGUGAUCAAUCUCCUGCAUCAACUGCUCCCUGUGGAAAGUGGGAACUGGAAAAUGUUAUGGGUAUUGUUCUGGACACUGGAAUGGAGCAGGGAAGGCAGGCGCGUGCUCUUCAUGUUCUAAAAGAGGCGGCCGAGUGGGCACAAACCAGAAGACAUCCGAGGCGGUGAUGUGAACCUGGCUACUAACAGCAGUGAAGAAAGGAGUCUGUUAUGAAGGUUUCCAUCGAUUCUGCUGCUGUGACUGAUACCCAGAUGAAAUCGGAAUGAAGGUUCCUCCAGGAUGAGUCAGAUCAUGUUUGUACUUUCUUGAAAGGGUCGUGGAAAGGAGCUACAGGAGAUCUGGGUCCACCCGAGAUGACCGCAUCCAUCCAGACUUUUAG